ensembl:lncRNA
AGCCCCCGCUUGCUAAUGGCGGAUGCAGGCUUCUGUGCUGCUUCUCCGCUGGAGGAGUUACCGUAGGGCUCGCAAUCUUAUCCACAUACUUUUCGGGGAUUCAGAAGAUACAUUCAGAUAAGGAUAUGACAUCCAUCAUUGCACAUUUGUGCUAUAAUGUCAGAAACUGGAUAUUGACUGCUCCAACCCUUGAACUCCGUUGCCCAUGAAGAGAUGGCGUUGGCUUCCCUUGGGUCAAAAUUUGACAUGGUUUCUCAGGAAUCACUUACAAAGAAUACUGUGGGGUUAGCAAUAAUGACUCUCUGACAAUGAAUAUACUCUGUCAUGUUAUGAUCUGACAAGUAUCAGAAGACAUAUGGGGGUUCACAUUUAAGUCUUACUUGAAUGCAGGCAUCAAAAUAACUUCAAUAUGUAGAGCAUAAAAUA